UGCCCGUAGCUCAGCUGGUAGAGCAGCGGCCUUUUAAGCCGUUGGCCAUAGGUUCGAAUCCUAUCGGGCACACACCA
rnacentral:tRNA from 1 species